UACGUAGGGUGCGAGCGUUAACCGGAAUUACUGGGCGUAAAGGGCGCGUAGGCGGCCGAUCAAGUCAGGCGUGAAAUUCCCGGGCUCAACCUGGGGGCUGCGCUUGAUACUGAUUGGCUUGAAUGCGGGAGAGGAUAGUGGAAUUCCCAGUGUAGAGGUGAAAUUCGUAGAUAUUGGGAAGAACACCGGUGGCGAAGGCGGCUAUCUGGCCCGUAAUUGACGCUGAGGCGCGAAAGCGUGGGGAGCAAACAGG
rnacentral:rRNA from 1 species